rnacentral:misc_RNA from 1 species
GAUUAACUGAAAUCAGGCUUUAUUUAGCCAACACAUUUUGAAGCAUGGGAGCUCUAUUUGUGUCCUUUCAAAUUUCACUGGAGGAAUAGAUAAUACAUUUACACUGCACAUGUUGUCAACAAUGGUAGAUUUAUUUGGUAAUUCAGUAUUCCAGCCUGGUAAAUCCAUUCUUCUUGUUUGAAGUAAGGAUUCUGUGCUAUUUGUAUACCAAAUGUGAGGAAUACCUAUCUGUAACUGUAACCCUGAAAUGAGUCAAUAGUGAAAUUCAAAAUUGGGUUGCAAAUAAGCCAAGCCAAGCAAAGUUGACUUUUGGCCUUUUCAAGCUUGGUCUGGUUAAAAAUCCAUUUAGGUUGUGAGCUCUAACAAGCUCAGUUUAAGUCUCUCAAAGAAGCUUGAGCUUAGUUUGAUCUUAGUUCACAGGCUAGCUCAAAUUUGUUGCAAGCUCUUAACUCAGCAAAGAAGUAGAACUAAGAUUGCCUAAAUACAGAAAAUUUAAGAGGUAUCACAAAACCUUAUGAAAAUUUUCAUGAAAAACUCAAAAUAAAAUAAACUUCUUCCUAUAAAUAAAAUAUCUUUCCUUUAUUAAUUAUUAUUUGAUCUAAGAAAAUAAGUAUGACCGAACUAAAUUUGUAUUAAACAAGCUUAGAUGCCAAUAAUAAAUUACUACAAACUGUUCAUGAACCUUGUUUGGGUAUGUCUUGUUGGUUAUACAAGUUUGAAAAAGUUCAUUAGCAUUAGAAAACAAAAAUAACUGCAUUUUCCUGAGUGGAGCUUUGAACUGUUCAAUAAAAUUUGGUUAAUUUGCAGCCUUGAUUUAGACCAAGACUCAAACUAUUGAAUUGCAUCAUGUAGUCCCAUAAUUUAUAGCACAUAUAUAAAUCAUAUCUAAUAGGAUGACUGUGGCUCCAGGUCAAUAUCUCUAAUAUACUUUGUUAUUUUCUUCUAUUUGUUUGCAGUAAAGCAUGAUUGUGUAUUUGGU